rnacentral:rRNA from 1 species
CCUACGGGUGGCUGCAGUGGGGAAUAUUGCACAAUGGGGGAAACCCUGAUGCAGCGACGCCGCGUGAGUGAAGAAGUCUUUCGGUGUUUUAAGCUCCUUUUGUAUGGAAGUAAAUGACGGUACCUGUUUUAGAAGCCCCGGCUAAAUACGUUCCAGCAGCCGCGGUAACACGUAGGGGGCAAGCGUUAUCCGGAUUUACUGGGUGUAAAGGGAGCGUAGGCGGGAGCACAAGUCUGGAGUGAAAUGCCCGGGCUUAACCUCGGAACUGCUUUGGAAACUGUGCAGCUAGAGUUCAGGAGAGGUAAGCGGAAUUCGUGGUGUAGCGGUGAAAUGCGUAGAUAUUAGGAGGAACACCAAUGGCGAAGGCGGCUUACUGGACUGUAACUGACGUUGAGGCUCGAAAGCGUGGGGAGCAAACAGGAUUAGAUACCCGAGUAGUC